AACGAACGCUGGCGGCGUGCUUAACACAUGCAAGUCGAACGCGAAAGGGACUUCGGUCCUGAGUAAAGUGGCGCACGGGUGAGUAACGCGUAGAUAACCUGUCUUCACGUCUGGAAUAAUACGCCGAAAGGGGUACUAAUACCGGAUAUUCUUGCUUUUCAUAAGUUUUGCAAGGAAAGGUGGUCUCUGAAUAUGCUACUGCGCGAAGAGGGGUCUGCGUACCAUUAGCUAGUAGGUGGGGUAAUGGCCUACCUAGGCUACGAUGGUUAGCGGGUCUGAGAGGAUGAUCCGCCACACUGGCACUGGAACACGGGCCAGACUCCUACGGGAGGCAGCAGUGAGGAAUAUUGCGCAAUGGGGAAAACCCUGACGCAGCGACGCCGCGUGAGUGAGGAAGGCCUUCGGGUCGUAAAGCUCUGUCAAAGGGAAAGAAGUGCAUGAUGGCUAAUACCUGUCAUGUUUGACGGUACCCUUAAAGGAAGCACCGGCUAACUCCGUGCCAGCAGCCGCGGUAAGAC
rnacentral:rRNA from 1 species